GUGCCAGCAGCCGCGGUAACACGUAGGGGGCGAGCGUUGUUCGGAAUUAUUGGGCGUAAAGGGCAUGUAGGCGGUUCCGUAAGCCUGGCGUGAAAUGGUAAGGCUCAACCUUAUCCUGCGUCGGGAACUGCGGGACUAGAAUCACUGAGGGGGAGAUAGAAUUCCAGGUGUAGGGGUGAAAUCUGUAGAUAUCUGGAAGAAUACCGGUGGCGAAGGCGAUCUCCUGGCAGAUGAUUGACGCUGAGGUGCGAAAGUGCGGGGAGCAAACAGGAUUAGAUACCCUGGUAGUCCGCACGGUAAACGAUGUGCACUAGGUGUUGGGGCGGAUGUCUCAGUGCCGGAGUUAACGUGUUAAGUGCACCGCCUGGGGAGUAUGCCCGCAAGGGUGAA
rnacentral:rRNA from 1 species